GGACGAACGCUGGCGGCGUGCUUAACCCAUGCAAGUCGAACGGAAAGGCCCUGCUUUUGUGGGGUGCUCGAGUGGCGAACGGGUGAGUAACACGUGAGUAACCUACCCUUGACUUUGGGAUAACUUCAGGAAACUGGGGCUAAUACCGGAUAGGAGCUCCUGCUGCAUGGUGGGGGUUGGAAAGUUUCGGCGGUUGGGGAUGGACUCGCGGCUUAUCAGCUUGUUGGUGGGGUAGUGGCUUACCAAGGCUUUGACGGGUAGCCGGCCUGAGAGGGUGACCGGCCACAUUGGGACUGAGAUACGGCCCAGACUCCUACGGGAGGCAGCAGUGGGGAAUAUUGCACAAUGGGCGGAAGCCUGAUGCAGCAACGCCGCGUGCGGGAUGACGGCCUUCGGGUUGUAAACCGCUUUCGCCUGUGACGAAGCGUGAGUGACGGUAAUGGGUAAAGAAGCACCGGCUAACUACGUG
rnacentral:rRNA from 1 species